GCUCCUCUGGCGAAACUGGUAAACGCAGCAGGCUCAGACCCUGUGGCCUUCGCGGCUUGUGGGUUCGAAUCCCACGGGGAGUA
rnacentral:tRNA from 1 species